AACGAACGCUGGCGGCAUGCCUAACACAUGCAAGUCGAACGAGGCCUUCGGGUCUAGUGGCGCACGGGUGCGUAACGCGUGGGAACCUGCCCUUAGGUUCGGAAUAACUCCCCGAAAGGGGUGCUAAUACCGGAUAAUGUCUUCGGACCAAAGAUUUAUCGCCUUUGGAUGGGCCCGCGUUGGAUUAGCUAGUUGGUAGGGUAAAAGCCUACCAAGGCAACGAUCCAUAGCUGGUCUGAGAGGAUGAUCAGCCACACUGGGACUGAGACACGGCCCAGACUCCUACGGGAGGCAGCAGUGGGGAAUAUUGGACAAUGGGCGAAAGCCUGAUCCAGCAAUGCCGCGUGAGUGAUGAAGGCCUUAGGGUUGUAAAGCUCUUUUACCCGGGAUGAUAAUGACAGUACCGGGAGAAUAAGCUCCGGCUAACUCCGUG
rnacentral:rRNA from 1 species